CUGUGUGCACAUGUAUGUCUGUAUGUGCAUGUGUGUAUCUGUGUGUGAGGACAGCAUGUGCAUGAGCAUGUACAGCAUGCUCACA
rnacentral:miRNA from 14 species